GGACUACUGGGGUAUCUAAUCCCGUUCGCUCCCCUAGCUUUCGUGCCUCAGCGUCAGAAGAGACCCAGUAAGCCGCUUUCGCUCCUGGUGUUCCUUAAGAUAUCAACGCAUUUCACCGCUCCACCUUAAGUUCCGCUUACCUCUGUCUCCCUCAAGUCCAGUAGUUUUGGGCGCACUUCCUCGGUUGAGCCGAGGUCUUUCACACCCAACUUUCUGGACCGCCUACGCACCCUUUAAGCCCAGUAAAUCCGAAUAACGUUUGGACGGUACGUAUUACCGCGGCUGCUGGCAC
rnacentral:rRNA from 1 species